rnacentral:misc_RNA from 1 species
AACGCACAUUGCGCCCCUUGGUAUUCCGAGGGGCAUGCCUGUUCGAGCGUCAUUGCAACCCUCAAGCUCUGCUUGGUGCUGGGCCCUACUGGACGAGUAGGCCCUAAAGUCAGUGGCGGUGCCGCCUGGCCCUAAGCGUAGUAUACCCUAUCGCUCUAGGGGACUCGCGGCGCCUGCUAGCAAGCCCAUCUACGUAAUGUCUGACCUCGGAUCAGGUAGGGAUACCCGCUGAACUUAA